rnacentral:rRNA from 1 species
UACGUAGGGGGCGAGCGUUGUCCGGAAUGACUGGGCGUAAAGGGCGUGUAGGCGGUCAUUUAAGUCUGGAGUGAAAGUCCUGCAUUCAAUGUGGGAACUGCUUUGGAUACUGGAUGACUUGAGUGCGGAAGAGGUAAGAGGAAUUCCCAGUGUAGCGGUGAAAUGCGUAGAGAUUGGGAGGAACACCAGUGGCGAAGGCGACUUACUGGGCCGUAACUGACGCUGAGGCGCGAAAGCGUGGGGAGCGAAC